rnacentral:rRNA from 1 species
GUGGGGAAUAUUGGACAAUGGGCGAAAGCCUGAUCCAGCAAUGCCGCGUGAGUGAUGAAGGCCUUAGGGUUGUAAAGCUCUUUUACCCGGGAUGAUAAUGACAGUACCGGGAGAAUAAGCUCCGGCUAACUCCGUGCCAGCAGCCGCGGUAAUACGGAGGGAGCUAGCGUUGUUCGGAAUUACUGGGCGUAAAGCGCACGUAGGCGGCUUGGUAAGUUAGAGGUGAAAGCCUGGAGCUUAACUCCAGAACUGCCUUUAAGACUGCAUCGCUUGAAUCCAGGAGAGGUGAGUGGAAUUCCGAGUGUAGAGGUGAAAUUCGUAGAUAUUCGGAAGAACACCAGUGGCGAAGGCGGCUCACUGGACUGGUAUUGACGCUGAGGUGCGAAAGCGUGGGGAGCAAACAGGAUUAGAUACCCUUGUAGUCC